UUUUGUAUAAUGGGUCAGCGACUUAUAUUCUGUAGCAAGGUUAACCGAAUAGGGGAGCCGAAGGGAAACCGAGUCUUAACUGGGCGUUAAGUUGCAGGGUAUAGACCCGAAACCCGGUGAUCUAGCCAUGGGCAGGUUGAAGGUUGGGUAACACUAACUGGAGGACCGAACCGACUAAUGUUGAAAAAUUAGCGGAUGACUUGUGGCUGGGGGUGAAAGGCCAAUCAAACCGGGAGAUAGCUGGUUCUCCCCGAAAGCUAUUUAGGUAGCGCCUCGUGAAUUCAUCUCCGGGGGUAGAGCACUGUUUCGGCAAGGGGGUCAUCCCGACUUACCAACCCGAUGCAAACUGCGAAUACCGGAGAAUGUUAUCACGGGAGACACACGGCGGGUGCUAACGUCCGUCGUGAAGAGGGAAACAACCCAGACCGCCAGCUAAGGUCCCAAAGUCAUGGUUAAGUGGGAAACGAUGUGGGAAGGCCCAGACAGCCAGGAUGUUGGCUUAGAAGCAGCCAUCAUUUAAAGAAAGCGUAAUAGCUCACUGGUCGAGUCGGCCUGCGCGGAAGAUGUAACGGGGCUAAACCAUGCACCGAAGCUGCGGCAGCGACGCUGAUGCGUUGUUGGGUAGGGGAGCGUUCUGUAAGCCUGCGAAGGUGUGCUGUGAGGCAUGCUGGAGGUAUCAGAAGUGCGAAUGCUGACAUAAGUAACGAUAAAGCGGGUGAAAAGCCCGCUCGCCGGAAGACCAAGGGUUCCUGUCCAACGUUAA
rnacentral:rRNA from 1 species